UACGGAGGAUCCGAGCGUUAUCCGGAUUUAUUGGGUUUAAAGGGUGCGCAGGCGGGGGAUUAAGUCGGCGGUGAAAUUUUGCAGCUCAACUGUAAAAGUGCCAUUGAUACUGGUUUUCUUGAGUGUGGAUGAAGUAGGCGGAAUUUGUGGUGUAGCGGUGAAAUGCAUAGAUAUCACGAGGAACUCCGAUUGCGCAGGCAGCUUACUAAACUACUACUGACGCUCAGGCACGAAGGCGUGGGGAUCAAACAGGAUUAGAUACCCGU
rnacentral:rRNA from 1 species